GGAGUUAGCCGGUGCUUCUUCUGCGAGUAACGUCACAGAUGUAAGGUAUUAACUUACACCCUUUCCUCCUCGCUGAAAGUGCUUUACAACCCGAAGGCCUUCUUCACACACGCGGCAUGGCUGCAUCAGGGUUUCCCCCAUUGCGCAAUAUUCCCCACUGCUGCCUCCCGUAGGAGUCUGGGCCGUGUCUCAGUCCCAGUGUGGCUGAUCAUCCUCUCAGACCAGCUAGGGAUCGUCGCCUAGGUGAGCCUUUACCUCACCUACUAGCUAAUCCCACCUGGGCUUAUCCAUCAGCGCAAGGCCCGAAGGUCCCCUGCUUUCCCCCGUAGGGCGUAUGCGGUAUUAGCAGUCGUUUCCAACUGUUAUCCCCCACAAAUGGGCAAAUUCCCAGGCAUUACUCACCCGUCCGCCGCUCGUCAUCUUCAAAGCAAGCUUUUGAAAUGUUACCGCUCGACUUGCAUGUGUUAGGCCUGCCGCCAGCGUUCAAUCUGAGCCAUGAUCAAACUCUGA
rnacentral:rRNA from 1 species